rnacentral:rRNA from 1 species
CUAAGAAUAUUCCGCAAUGGACGGAAGUCUGACGGAGCGACGCCGCGUGGAUGACGAAGGCCGAAAGGUUGUAAAGUUCUUUUGCUGGGGAAGAAUAACCGCAGGAGGGAAUGCCUGUGGGAUGACAAGAACCGGCGAAUAAGCCCCGGCCAACUACGUGCCAGCAGCCGCGGUAACACGUAGGGGGGCGAGCGUUGUUCGGAAUUACUGGGCGUAAAGGGCAUGUAGGCGGCUUGGAAAGCCUGGCGUGAAAGUCUGCAGCUUAACUGCAGGGGUGCGCUGGGAACUGCUGAGCUUGAGUGACGGAGAGGGAGCUGGAAUUCCUGGUGUAGGGGUGAAAUCUGUAGAUAUCAGGAAGAACACCGAUGGCGAAGGCAAGCUCCUGGCCGAUGACUGACGCUGAGGUGCGAAAGUGUGGGGAUCAAACAGGAUUAGAUACCCUGGUAGUCCACACAGUCAACGAUGUGCACUAGGUGCUGGGGCGGUAGCUUCGGUGCCGGAGCGAACGUGGUAAGUGCACCGCCUGGGGAGUAUGCUCGCAAGGGUGAAACUUAAAGGAAUUGACGGGGUCAUAGCUGUUUCCU